rnacentral:rRNA from 1 species
UAAGCCUGCGAGUCGAGAGGUGAAAGACCUCGGCAUACUGCUCAGUAACACGUGGUUAAUCUGCCCUUGGGUGGGGAAUACUCCCGGGAAACUGGGGCUAAUACCCCAUAGUGAAUGCGCGUUGGAAUACCGCAUUCUCGAAAGAUUCAUUCGCCCAAGGAUGAGACUGCGUCCGAUUAGGUAGUUGGUGGGGUAACGGCCCACCAAGCCUGUUAUCGGUACGGGUUGUGGGAGCAAGAUCCCGGAGAUGGAUUCUGAGACAUGAAUCCAGGCCCUACGGGGCGCAGCAGGCGCGCAAACUUUACAAUGCGAGCAAUCGUGAUAAGGAAACCCUGAGUGCCUGUCGAUGCAGGCUGUUCAUAUAUCUAAAUCGUAUGUGAAGAAAGGGCAGGGCAAGACCGGUGCCAGCCGCCGCGGUAAUACCGGCUGCUCGAGUGAUGGCCACUAUUACUGGGUUUAAAGCGUCCGUAGCUUGAUUGUUAGGUCUCUUGGGAAAUCUUCUGGCUUAACCAAAAGGCGUCUAAGAGAUACCGGCAAUCUAGGAACUGGGAGAGGUAAGCCGUACUUCGGGGGUAGGAGUGAAAUCUUGUAAUCCUCGAGGGACGACCUAUGGCGAAGGCAGCUUACCAGAACAGCUUCGACAGUGAGGGACGAAAGCUGGGGGAGCAAACGGGAUUAGAUACCCCGGUAGUCCCAGCCGUAAACAAUGUGCGUUAGGUGUGUCGGUUACCACGCGUAACUGAUGCGCCGAAGAGAAAUCGUGAAACGCACCACCUGGGAAGUACGGUCGCAAGGCUGAAACUUAAAGGAAUUGGCGGGGGA